rnacentral:rRNA from 1 species
AGUGAACGCUGGCGGUAGGCCUAACACAUGCGAGUCGAACGGCAGCACAGUAAGAGCUUGCUCUUACGGGUGGCGAGUGGCGGACGGGUGAGGAAUACAUCGGAAUCUACUUUUUCGUGGGGGAUAACGUAGGGAAACUUACGCUAAUACCGCAUACGACCUACGGGUGGAAGCAGGGGAUCUUCGGACCUUGCGCGAUUGAAUGAGCCGAUGUCGGAUUAGCUAGUUGGCGGGGUAAAGGCCCACCAAGGCGACGAUCCGUAGCUGGUCUGAGAGGAUGAUCAGCCACACUGGAACUGAGACACGGUCCAGACUCCUACGGGAGGCAGCAGUGGGGAAUAUUGGACAAUGGGCGCAAGCCUGAUCCAGCCAUACCGCGUGGGUGAAGAAGGCCUUCGGGUUGUAAAGCCCUUUUGUUGGGAAAGAAAAGCAGCAGGUUAAUACCCCGCUGUUCUGACGGUACCCAAAGAAUAAGCACCGGCUAACUUCGUG